rnacentral:lncRNA from 1 species
CUCAGAAACUAGCUGCUGCCCCCCUGGAAGCACAGAGAGCCAUAUCUUAAGAACAAUCCUCCAGGCACAGGUUAACUAAAGGGCGCAAGAGGACACUGUGGCGGGAAAAAGCCACGAGAUAAACGGUCAGAAGAGCUGUUUUCCACCUCUCCCUCUGUCACCUGUCUGACAUUGCUGCUUCAGUUUCCUCCGGGUAAAGUGCUACUUGUACUCCCUACCUGAUGUGCUGAUAUGAGGUUCAGUGGUAUCUUGUGAAAAAUGCCAGGUCUCAAGCUUGUUGUCCCAGGGCUAUUCCAUUGCCUUGGCUUGUGGUGGAUCUCAAGGUGGUGUUGUGCUGUCAUCUCAGUCACAGUUGUCUACCAGUACCUGCAGAUUUGGACCCGGUGCAUUUCAAGCCACAGACAGAGCUUUCCCUCGGAUCUAGUGCUAGUCUAGUUUCACUUGCUCAUCAGAGGCCCGAGGGCAGAGGCUUCACACCUGACCCUUCAGACCAGAGUUCCAGAUGCAAAACAGCUGCUGUGGCUCCUGGGCUCCUGUGCUUCUGCGCAUGACACUCAAUGCAAGAUGGCGGCGGCGGGCCGGACAGAGAUGCUGCGUCCCACUCUGGGCUGGAGCCCCAGCAGCGCGCCUGCGCAUGACUCUGGCGAAGCCCCUCCCCUCCCCACCGAUCCUAUAAAGCAGCCCUGCCCACGGCUUGUGAGCAGCAUGUGUUCUAGAGCUGAGCUCCUGCCUCUUCAUUCUCUGGUCAAAAAAGAAAGCUUCCCUUGGCUGGACUUGGUCUACCUUGCUCAAAGGACCCCCGGCAGGAGGACCCUGUGACAGGGUCAGUUAUGAUAGGAUGCUUGUAAUGGGCUAGGCACCCUGCUAAAAGGACUGUGUGUAGACAGUUUCCAUGAUCCUCACCGCAGCUCCGUGGUUGUUGUAAGGUUGGUGCUCCCAUUUUCCACGUGAGAAAACUGAGAGUUAAGUGACCUGCCCCAUGUCACUCAGCAAGUGGAAGCGAAACUUUUGUACAGAAGGCUCUGGUAGAUGUGUGAAUGGACAGCAAAAUGCCAAAGGCAAGUGGCCAGAGGAAGAGCAGCAACCUGGACAUUUAGCCUCUGGAAAAAUGAAAAGUCACUGGAGUCUCCUUUCAUUUUUGAGAGCAGAAGCUGCCUGGCUUCUAAACUUCUGAGUGCCGAGCCUCAAAUGCCAGACUGGCAUUGUCAGGGAAUACGUGCUGCUGUUCCAUGGAAACCAUCUCCAUGAGUCAGAAAGAAAACGCCAAUCCUGUUGUCCUGAUACUAUGAUGUACAUUGCUAAUGUGACACCUGAUAUGCGUAAACUGGGCAAGAGUUGCUUCUCCAAGAGCUGCUGUGCAGAAUGCAGGGAGAGAUGGAGCCAUUUGGAAGUAGAACCCGUGUUUAGGGAAGGCAGUCACACCAUCUCAGAGUCCAUCUGUCCCCUCUCCCCAGGAGAGGACUUUGGCUUUGACUCAAGGGACCAGAUGAGACCCAUGCGUAGCUGGGAUUUCCUGCACCUCCUCCAGGAAGGCCUUACCAUAGUCCAAUGCUGCCUUACCUUGUGUUCAGUAGGUGAGUGGAUGCAGAACCAAGGGCUUACAAAAAGUGAGAUUGAACACAAAUUAGAACAAUCCCCUCUAACUCCCCAGACAUGACAGGGUGUCCAGAGCAGUCCAACCUCUCAGAGAGCACACAUGUUUAUCAGAUCUGCUGAGCCAUUUGAUACUUGGGUGUUUUUCUUCCAAUACCUUUCUUUAAGAGCUGGCUUACCUCCAAGGUUUGGGGAAGAUAAGAUUCUGAAUUAAUUCCUAAAGUUUCUGGUUAGAUAGAGACUGCCCUUCAAUCCAGGUUCUUCCUCUUUGUUCUUUGAUCUGAAUCCCAGGAGAGUCUUGAGUGUUUCUCCUGCUGCUGCUUUGUCUGAAUUUUGCCAGUCAGCUCUGUAGGUUGGUUUCCAGGGGUUGGUGUAGAGGGGAAGUGCCCCCUUUGUCUUGCUCUCUUUUUGGACCAGACUUUCUGUCCUUGAAGGAACACAACCCUCAAGGCUAAUGUGCUCCCCCUGAGGUAGGUAUUUCCCCACAUAAGUGGACUGAGCAACAAGCCUAGGAUUUAAACAAGCUCCAGGGUUGGCAUCUGUCAUCAUUUCCUUGUGACUCUCAUUUCCUCCACCCUUAGUCAUCCUUACUCAGGCUCUCAUUAUCUCCCACUGAGACCAAGGUAGUGGCCUCUUAACUGGUGACUUGGCUCCAAAGCCAACUCAGGCUACUCUACAUCUUGCUUCUCGGGAGCUGAAAACCUGACCAUGUCACCAAAGGCCGGAAGCUUUCUUUUGGUUCCCCAUCGCCUAUAGAAUAAAAGUUCAACUCUGUUGCAGCAUUUUGAGAUCUCCCUACUUUUUUAGUAGCUCUUCCUACUUCCUUACUUUUCCUUAUUCUUCAACCAUGGUUACUGAGAAGCAUGUUGUUCCUUAAGCAGAUUGUGUCACACACCCAUGCCUGAAAUUCCUGGUUUGCUUCACUAAUAACUAAUCAUUUUCAAGUUGACAGGUCAAGGGUUGUAUUAAGGAUUGAAUUGUGUCCCUCCCCUAAAAAGAUGAAGUCCUAACCCUGAGUCCCUGUGAAUGUGACCUUACUUGGAAAUACAGUUUUUGUAGAUGAUCAAGUUAAGAUGGGGUCACUAGAGUGAGCCUUAACCCGAAACAACUGGUGUCCUUAUAAAAAGGGUACAUUUGGAGGUAUAUAGACUUGUAGAGAGGAAAGACAACAUGAAGACCCAGGGAGAACAUCACAUACAAGCCUAGGAAUGACUGAGGCUGCCAGAAGCAAGGAGAGAGGCAUGGAACUGAUUCUCCUUCACAGCCCUCAGAAGCAACCAAGGCUUCUGACACUUUGAUCUUGGAUUUCUAGCCUCCAGAACUGUGAGAAAGUAAAUCCUUUCUUUUUUUUUAAUUGAAGUGUAGUUGAUUUAUAAUAUAUAUCAUGUUUCAGGAGUAAAACACAGUGGUUUAGUUAUACAGAUAUAUUCUUUUUCAAAUUCUUUUCCAUUAUAAGUUAUUAUAAAAUAGAGUAUAGUUUUCUAUCCUGCAGAGUAGGUCUUUGUUGGUUAUCUAUUUUAUAUAUAUCCCAAACUCCUAAUUUGCAUUUCCUCCCACCAGUGUUUUCCCUUUGGUAAUCAUAAGUUUGUUUUCUAUGUCUAUGAAUCUUUUUCCGUUUUGGACAUAAGUUCAUUUGCAUCUUUUUUUUUUUAAGAUUUCACAUAUAAGUGAUAUCAUAUGAUGUUUGUCUUUCUCUGACUUACUUCACUUAGUGUGAUAAUCCCUAGGUCUAUGCUGCAAGUGACAUUUCAUUCUUUUAUGGCUGAGUAAUAUUCCAUUUCAUUCCUUUAUGGCUGAGUAAUAUACCAUAUCUUCUUUAUUCAUUCAUCUGUUGAUGGACAUUUAGGUCGCUCCCAUGUCUUGGGUAUUGUAAAUAGUGCUUUGAAUAUUGGGGUGCAUCUAUCUUUUCAAAUUAGAGUUUUUGUCUUUCCAGAUCUAUACCUAGGAGUGAUAUUGCUGGAUCAUGUGGUAGGUCUAUUUUUACUUUUUUUAGGUGCUUCCAUACCGUUCUCCACAGUGGUUGUACCAGUUUACAUUCCCACCAACAGUGAAGGAGGGUUCUUUUUUUCCAUACCCUCUACAGCAUUUAAUGACAUUUUAUUGAUGACUGUUCUGACUGGUAUAAAGUGGGUAACUCGUAGUUUUGAUUUGCAUUUCUCUGAUAAUUAGCGAUGUUUAUAAAGCAUUUUUCAUGUAUUUUUUUGCCAUCUGCAUAUCUUCUUUGGAGAAAUGUCUACUUAGGUCUCCUGCCCAUUUUUUGAUUGGGUUUUAUGUUUUUUGGAUAUUGAGCUGCAUGAAGUGUUUGUGUAUUUUGGAAAUUAAUCUCUUGUUGGUUGCAUCAUUUGCAAAUAUUUUCUCCCACUCUGUAGGUUGUCUUUUCAUUUCAUUUAUGGUUUCCUUCUCUGUGCAAAAGCUUUUAAGUCUAAUUGGGCCCCAUUUGUUUAUGUUUGCUUUUAUUUCCAUUACUCUAGAAGAUGGAUGCUAAUAUAGUGCUACAAUUUAUGUCAAAGAGUGUUCCACCUUUGUUUUUCUCUAGUUCUUUUAAAGUGAUCUUACAUUUAGGUCUUUAAUGCACUUUGAGUUUAUUUUUAUAUAUGGUGUUAAAGAAUAUUCUAAUUUUGUCCUUUUACAUGUAGUUGCCCAGUUUUCCUAGCACUACUUUUUGAAGAGACUGUCUUUUCUCCAUUGUAUAUUUGCCUCCUUUGUCAUAGGUUAGCUGUCCUUGGGUGUGUGGGUUUAUUUCUGGACUUUCUAUCCUGUUUGAUAGAUCUGUAUUUCUGUUUUUGUGCAGAUCUGUAUUUCUGGUUUUUUGUGUGGUAUAAUGCUGUUUUGAUGAUAGUAGCAUUGUAAUAUAGCCCAAAGUCAGGGAGCCUGAUUUUUCCAGCUCCAUUUUGAUACUUGGGGUCUUUUGUGUUUCCAUACAAAUUAAAAUUUUUUUUUGUUCUAGUUCUGGUCAAAAAUGCCAUUAGUAGUUUGAUAGAGAUUGUAUGGAAUCUGUAGAUUGCCUUGGGUAGUAUAAACAUUUUGACAAUAUUGAUUCUUCCCAUCCAAGAACACAGUAUAUCUUUACAUCUGUCCACUUUCACCACUUUUAUUCAACAUAGUUUUGGAAGUCCUAGCUAUAGCAAUCAGAGAAGAGAAAGAAAUAAAAAGUCCAAAUUGGAAAAGAAGUAAAACUACUAUACUGUAUAUAGAAAAUCCUAAAGAUACUACCAGAAAACUACUGGAGCUCAUCACUGAAUUUGGUAAAGUUACAGGAUACAAAAUUAGUACACAGACUGGAGUUCCUGUUGUGGCCCAGCAGGUUAAGAAUCUGACAUAGGCUCCAUGAGGAUGUGUGUUUGAUCCCUGGCCUCACUCAGUGGGUUAAUGAUCCAGUGUUGCCACAAGCUAUGGUGUAGUUCCCAGAUGUGGCUGGGAUCAGGCGUGGCUAUGGUGUAGGCUGGCAGCUGCUGCUCUGAUUCACCCCUAGCCCAGGAACUUUCAUAUGCUGCAGGUGCAGCCCUAAAUAGAAAAAAUGAAAAAAAAA